CUACGGGAGGCAGCAGUGAGGAAUAUUGCGCAAUGGGGGAAACCCUGACGCAGCGACGCCGCGUGAGUGAGGAAGGUUUUCGGAUCGUAAAGCUCUGUCAGAAGGGAAGAAGUGUUAUGUGGUUAAUAUCCAUGUAAUUUGACGGUACCUUCAGAGGAAGCACCGGCUAACUCCGUGCCAGCAGCCGCGGUAAUACGGAGGGUGCAAGCGUUGUUCGGAAUUACUGGGCGUAAAGGGCGCGUAGGCGGCCUGAUAAGUCAGAUGUGAAAGUCCACGGCUCAACCGUGGAAGUGCAUUUGAAACUGUCAGGCUUGAGUAUCGGAGGGGAGUGUGGAAUUCCCGGUGUAGAGGUGAAAUUCGUAGAGAUCGGGAGGAACACCGGUGGCGAAGGCGACACUCUGGACGAAUACUGACGCUGAGGCGCGAAAGCGUGGGGAGCAAACAGGAUUAGAUACCCUGGUAGUCCACGCCGUAAACGAUGUGAACUAGGGAUAGGGGGUGUUGAUCCCUCCUGUCCCGCAGCUAACGCAUUAAGUUCACCGCCUGGGGAGUACGGUCGCAAGAUUAAAACUCAAAGGAAUUGACGG
rnacentral:rRNA from 1 species